rnacentral:rRNA from 1 species
UGGAACUGAGACACGGUCCAAACUCCUACGGGAGGCAGCAGUGGGGAAUAUUGCACAAUGGGCGAAAGCCUGAUGCAGCAACGCCGCGUGAGUGAUGAAGGCCUUCGGGUCGUAAAACUCUGUCCUCAAGGAAGAUAAUGACGGUACGUGAGGAGGAAGCCCCGGCUAACUACGUGCCAGCAGCCGCGGUAAUACGUAGGGGGCUAGCGUUAUCCGGAUUUACUGGGCGUAAAGGGUGCGUAGGCGGUCUUUCAAGUCAGGAGUGAAAGGCUACGGCUCAACCGUAGUAAGC